rnacentral:misc_RNA from 1 species
AACGCACGAGACCUGCGGACCUGCGGAAGGAUCAUUACCGAGUUAUCCAACUCCCAACCCCUGUGAAUCAUACCUUUAAUUGUUGCUUCGGCGGGACUUCGCGCCCGCCGGGGACCCAAACCUUCUGAAUUUUUUAAUAAGUAUCUUCUGAGUGGUUAAAAAAAAUGAAUCAAAACUUUCAGCAACGGAUCUCU